GAGAGAGAGAGAGAGAGAGAGAGAGAGAGAGAGAGAGAGGGAGGGAGGGCGAAUCAAGAGAAAACUUGGGUUUUGGGUCUUCCUUGGGUUUAGGAGAAAAGGAGUAGAAACAGUGAAACUUUCGUGAGGUUUAGGAGAGGGAGACGAGGAGCCAAAGAAAAGUUGGGAUUUUGGGCGCUUUAUAGGGACGUGAGCCAUCUCUUUUGAUCAGUUGUUCAGGCAAAGAAGAGAGAAAAGGCGUAGAAAAGAAGGGAUUUUGUUUGAUUUAGGGGAGGGUGAAGGAGAAGUAGGUGAAAAAAUCGAACUUUUUGGGGCUUCUUUUGUGGUGAAGAGAGAAAACCCAGAAGAGAGGGGGAGUGGAGUGGAGAGGCGGAGGAAGGAAAGAAGAUGGGUAGUAUUAAGCAUCAGCAAGCUUGCAUGGAAUGCACCAAGAAGUGCUUGAAGACCCAUGGAAGGAAGCUCACACCUGAUUCUAAUUCUACCCCACUAUCCUUCUUUAAGAUCAUGGUUGGUGAUUUCAGAGAAGUCUUGUUCAUACCACCUAAAUUUGAUCUUUUAGAUGAAUCGUUCAAUCAUAACAUAUAUCUCGAAGAUUCAGAUGGAAAUUCUUCAAGGGUUAAAUUAUCAAUGAAAGAUGGCUGUUUAGUAUUUCAAGAUGGGUGGCGUGAAUUUGUGUUGGACCACUCUAUAGAAGUUGGAGAGUUUGUCAUAUUUAAAUAUGUUGGUGAAUUCUUGUUUUCUGUUCAAAUCUUUGGUGUGAGCGCUUGUGAAAGAGUAUGCUUUCAUGAUAAAAACAAGAGCAGUUCCCGUAAGAAGAACAUAAACAAGGCUGAUUUAUCGCUUGAAGAGUUGCAGUUGCCAAAAAGAUAUAAAUGUUCUGGAGAUCUGAAAGAUAAAUGCCACCUUGUCAAUGAAAACUCACUGAACAAAGAACAAGAAUCAAAAGAUGAUCUUUCUGACUUGCCUGAUAUUGAAUUUAUAGGAAGUAACUGUGCUGAGAAAGAUGAAAAUGAAUCAGAGAAAUCUCCUCAUUGUCUCGGUAAUUCUGAAGGGACACAAAGUGAGAUGGCCUUGGGACUUAACAAACAAUCACGUGACAAGAUUGAUGAGGUUGCUAUGAGGGUACAGGAGGAAGGCAGCAGUGUUCCUAUGGGUCGUCCAGAAACACAUGGGAUGGAUCAUAAAGAUUCAGUGCACGAGCAGGAAACAAGCACAAUCCCUUCUAUAAAUGAUCUGGAUCCUAAAGCUAUGGAAACUGAUACCAAUCCUGAUGAUGCAGACAUAGCAAUGCUUAAUGAAGAAAAAAUAUUCCAUUGUGAUGAUAAUUGCAGAAGAUCCCAAACUGCACCAACAAUUGAAUGCACAAAAUCUACGACCGAGAAUCAAAUGAAUUCCAGUUGGGACAUCAUCAUUUAUACACCCAAAAAUGACUGCUCAAAAGAACCAGGCAUAGCUGAGAAACAUCCAAUGAGAAAUCAGGGAGUGCACAAAAUUGACACAGUUCAUUUAGCUGAUGACCUUAAAAUGCUUGAAAAUGAGAACAGGAAUCUGAUUGCUAAAGACAAAUCUGCCUGCAAAUUUCUUCUGACAGAGGAAGGAGUAUGCCACAUUUUUGAUGAAAGUUUAACUGUUGAACAUGAAGCAAGCCGAAUAACUCCUAUCAUUCUGUAUGUCAGUGAAAACAAUUGUGUAAACAAUAAUGGGGGGUGCUGCGAUGAAAUUAUACGCAUGCCCAGAGAAGAGGCUUCCUCCAAGUCCAAAAAUAUUCCGGAAGUUUCUUGCCCUGAAUCCACACCUGAUCCCAUUAAAGUUGAAAAGUGUGAGGAGAUCAGGGAAAGUUUGCACAGUGAAGAGGGCUUGUGUUCCUUGGCAGGAAAUACCCCAAUACCUUUGUCCAGAAACGAGGACGCUCCUUUUGCUGGCAGUGUCGGAAGUGCCCCACAGAAUUUGCCUCACAUGGAUAUCACAGAAGGAAAGACACGCCAGUCUGGAAUGUUGCCUGAUGACUUUAUGGAAGAGGAUGAGGAAAAUAUUACACCCUAUUUGAAAGAAAAAACUCUCAAAGCUGUGAAAGCUGAGAGGAUGGAUUCAGAUGGUGUAGACGAGCAGUCCUCACCAAAAUUAAUCAGCUUGAGCUUUACAUUGUCUUCCAAUGCUCGGUCCUGGACUGUCUUUCACAGCUAAAGGGCUCUAAAAACUAAAAUAUCUCUAAAGGAAAAGAAGAAAGAAAAAACUUGCCUGGCAUUGUUGUUGGCUGCCAGUUGUUGCUGAUCCAAGUCUUUCACCUGCCAUUGCCCUGCAUGUGCAUGCUACCUGUUGAUUCGGCCUCUGAUUUUGCUUGGGCUGGACUUGCUGCUACAUCCUCCAAAUCUUUUGUGCUAUGGAGAUAAAAGGAAAAAUGAAAUUUGAAGGUUACAUAUCUCAGGUGUUUUGAUCGGGUCAGCCAGUUGCCCAGUUGACAGUGAAAAUUGUGGGAGUGUAUAUGACUCCCAUUCCAUGAUGGGAAGGCCUUGGUUAGAAUGCAGUAUGGUGACUUCAGCAUGCUCCAAGUGUCUGUGCUAGGUAUAGGAUGGUCAGGGUGCCAACAUGGAUCACGUAGAUGCUAGUGUAGAUUGUGCAACAUUGGGCCAUUAUAUUUGACCCAUGAAGUAGACCAAUAUGCUCGGUUAAGUUGUCUUAUCUUCUGGGCCCUUGUAAACGAUAAAUCAUCUUGGCCAACUUAAAAGCUCUUUCUCACCAACGUCCACUUUGCAAGGAGUUGCCUCAAACAUUGCCGUACCGCCUUGGGAAAAAGAGACAUGGAAUGAGAGUGGUAACGCUCCAGGAUCCUUCUAUGAGGCAAUGGCCCGUUUUGUACCAUGAAAGCCUCAA